rnacentral:rRNA from 1 species
GACGAACGCUGGCGGCGUGCUUAACACAUGCAAGUCGAACGGAAAGGCCCUGCUUUUGUGGGGGGCUCGAGUGGCGAACGGGUGAGUAACACGUGAGUAACCUGCCCUUGACUUUGGGAUAACUUGAGGAAACUGGGGCUAAUACCGGAUAUGAGCUCCUGCUGCACGGUGGGGGUUGGAAAGUUUCGGCGGAUGGGGAUGGAGUCGGGGCUUAUCAGCUUGGUGGUGGGGUAGUGGCUUACCAAGGCUUUGACGGGUGGCCGGCCUGAGAGGGUGACCGGCCACAUUGGGACGGAGAUACGGCCCAGACUCCUACGGGAGGCAGCAGUGGGGAAUAGUGCACAAUGGGCGGAAGCCUGAUGCAGCAACGCCGCGUGCGGGAUGGCGGCCUUCGGGUUGUAGACCGCUUUCGCCUGUGACGAAGCGUGAGUGACGGUAAUGGGUAAAGAAGCACCGGCUAACUACGUG